GAAGCAAGCCAGUAAAGAACAUCCCUCCAUGGCCUCUGCAUCAGCUCCUGUUCCCUGACCUACUUGAGUUCCAGUCCUGACUUCUUUCAGUGAUGAACAGCAAUGUGGAAAUGAAUUCAUCUGUGUCCUCAGUUCCCCCGAUUGGCUCACUUUAUGAUGGUUUCUGUCUGAAUACAAAGUCUCCGUGGUUCCUGCAAGUCCUUGCUGUCUGAUUCAUUGCUGUUGCUCUGAGAUCUAUCAUCAACUACCAAAUCUUGAAAAUUUGCAAGAAAUUGAAAGCUCUCCAGGGGAGACAGGGAAGGGAAAUAAAUGUAUCCUCAGAUGCCCUCGCUCACUCAAUCUGACAAGCGUAGAUUAUGUUGUUUGAAAUACUUUCCAGACUGCUAGGAAGUGUCCCCAAGUGGGGGGCAUGAAGGGAAUAAAGCCUUUGUACCAUCGGA
ensembl:lincRNA Gm13180 predicted gene 13180